rnacentral:rRNA from 1 species
CAAUAGCGUAUAUUAAAGUUGUUGCAGUUAAAAAGCUCGUAGUUGGAUUUCUGGUGGGAGCGAUCGGUCUGGCGCUUAGCGCGAGUACUUGCAUCGUCUCCGGCCAUCCUUGGGGAGAGUCUGUCUGGCAUUAGGUUGUCGGGCAGAGGAUCCUCAUCGUUUACUGUGAAAAAAUUAGAGUGUUCAAAGCAGGCUUAUGCCGUUGAAUAGAUUAGCAUGGAAUAAUAAGAUAGGACUUUGGUACUAUUUUGUUGGUUUGCGCACCAAAGUAAUGAUUAAUAGGGACAGUUGGGGGUAUUCGUAUUCCGUUGUCAGAGGUGAAAUUCUUGGAUUUACGGAAGACGAACUACUGCGAAAGCAUUUACCAAGGAUGUUUUCAUUAA